rnacentral:rRNA from 1 species
UACGUAGGGUGCGAGCGUUGUCCGGAAUUACUGGGCGUAAAGAGCUCGUAGGUGGUUUGUCGCGUUGUUCGUGAAAACUCACAACUCAAUUGUGGGCGUGCGGGCGAUACGGGCAGACUGGAGUACUGCAGGGGGAGUCUGGAAUUCCUGGUGUAGCGGUGGAAUGCGCAGAUAUCAGGAGGAACACCGGUGGCGAAGGCGGGUCUCUGGGCAGUAACUGACGCUGAGGAGCGAAAGCGUGGGGAGCGAACAGG